GAAGAAAUGGCUGAGCGGUUUAAAGCGGCAGACUGUAAAUCUGUUGAGUUAUCUCAUCGCAGGUUCGAAUCCUGCUUUCUUCA
rnacentral:tRNA from 1 species